rnacentral:lncRNA from 1 species
AGCUGAUGAGUUGAUCACUCACACAGCAGUCCAAGCUUCCUGAAAGUGGGAAAUGGGGGAGAGAAGCUGAAAAAUCCAGGGGCUUGAGUAAUCCCCAAGAAACAGCAGAUACACCACCUGUUUGUUUGCACCCUACUUUGAGAGCCAUUCAUUGAUUUUUGCUGGACAGUCAUUCACAAGGAAGGAAGGCAGGUGAGAGGUCUCCUCACUCUACUCAGUGCUGGGCUGCUGCUAAGGAGGACCCAAACUGAAUUUCAGUUUAGGAGAACUGUCUUCAAUAAAACCAGGUGGGAUUUCUUUCUGCAGUGGGUUAACACAUGUAAUUAAUAAAAGAGCA